rnacentral:rRNA from 1 species
AGAGUUUGAUCAUGGCUCAGAACGAACGUUAGCGGGCGCCUAACACAUGCAAGUCGCACGAGAAAGGGCUUCGGCCCCGGUACAGUGGCGCACGGGUGAGUAACACGUAGGUAACCUACCCUCGAGUGGUGGAUAACCCUCCGAAAGGAGAGCUAAUACAGCAUGAGACCACAGCAUCACGGUGCUGCGGCCAAAGCGGGCCUCUCUAUAGAAGCUCGCGCUUGAGGACGGGCCUGCGGCCCAUCAGCUUGUUGGUGGGGUAACGGCCUACCAAGGCAGAGACGGGUAGCUGGUCUGAGAGGAUGAACAGCCACACUGGAACUGAGACACGGUCCAGACUCCUACGGGAGGCAGCAGUGGGGAAUCUUGCGCAAUGGGGGAAACCCUGACGCAGCGACGCCGCGUGAGCGAUGAAGGCCCUCGGGUUGUAAAGCUCUGUGGGGAGGGAAGAAUAAGCCUGGGUUAAUAACUCCAGGUGAUGACGGUACCUCCUUAGCAAGCACCGGCUAACUCUGUGCCAGCAGCCGCGGUAAGACAGAGGGUGCAAACGUUGUUCGGAAUUACUGGGCGUAAAGCGCGUGUAGGCGGCUAUGCAAGUCGGGCGUGAAAGCCCACGGCUCAACCGUGGAAGUGCACUCGAAACUGCGUAGCUAGAGUCCCGGAGAGGAAGGUGGAAUACUUGGUGUAGAGGUGAAAUUCGUAGAUAUCAAGUGGAACACCGGUGGCGAAGGCGGCCUUCUGGACGGUGACUGACGCUGAGACGCGAAAGCGUGGGGAGCAAACAGGAUUAGAUACCCUAGUAGUCC